rnacentral:rRNA from 1 species
GACGAACGCUGGCGGCGUGCUUAACACAUGCAAGUGGAGCGACGAAUCCGGGCUUGCCCGGAGGCAAAGCCGCGAACGGGUGAGUAACACGUGGGUAACCUGCCCGAUGAUUGGGACAACUCCGGGAAACCGGAGCUAAUACCAAAUGUGCUCACACCUCGGAAGGGGUGUGUGGAAAGGAAGCUUCGGCCUCCGCAUCGGGAUGGGCCCGCGGCCCAUUAGCUUGUUGGUGGGGUAACGGCCUACCAAGGGGACGAUGGGUAGCUGGUCUGAGAGGACGAUCAGCCACACUGGGACUGAGACACGGCCCAGACUCCUACGGGAGGCAGCAGUGGGGAAUCUUGCGCAAUGCGCGAAAGCGUGACGCAGCAACGCCGCGUGGAGGAAGACGGCCCUCGGGUUGUAAACUCCUUUCAGUUGGGACGAAGCUCCGUCGGUGAAUAGCCGGCCGGAGUGACGGUACCUUCACAAGAAGCACCGGCUAACUACGUGCCAGCAGCCGCCGUAA